CAGCACCAAUGAUGUUAAUUAUUUACCUACAUUAUUUGAUCACUGUGAUAGAAUCAUUAUCUGAGGUGUUG